AGAAUCUGCAAUUUCCGCUGCCAAAGCAGUGACUUUUUCAUGUGGUAGUAAGCAGCAGAACGGAUCUGUAAGGAAACGCGAUUCGCCCUACGGGAAAACCGACUGACUUCUGAUUGGAACUCAAUUAACUGGCCUUUAACAGCUACCAGGACUGGUUACAGCUACAUGUCAGUCCAAUGGAAGAAACUGAUCUUUAUGUGGAGCAAAAAGUGGCAUCACACUGGUUGAAUAUUAAAUGGGGAUUCUACUUAAGCGCCAAGCCCAAAAUACAAAAUUGGCAUUCGCUUUAAGGACAAAACUUUCUGGCAUGCCUCGCAGUAACAGGCGCUAGCAACAUGCUCCACAUCCUUGAGUGCCAAUCGAUGGUAUUGUUAGCUGCGAAAUGCGAAAUGCUUGAUGAAUACACCUUAUUUGAUUUUCUAUGGUGACAACGACUUAUCGAUCUUGAAGCUUUAAACUCAAGCACACAAUUUCUAAAAGAUUGGCUUUUCAACCAAACCCAAACUGUCCGCAACAUUUACAGUUCCACUAGUUGAACUCAGCCGUCAGCAACAGCUUGGCAGAUGUUGACACCAAACUACAAGAGCAUACCUAAACGAUAC